rnacentral:rRNA from 1 species
UACAGAGGGUGCGAGCGUUGUCCGGAAUUACUGGGCGUAAAGGGCGCGUAGGCGGCUUGGUAAGUCGGGGGUGAAAGUCAGCGGCUCAACCGCUGGACUGCCUUCGAGACUGCCUGGCUUGAGCAUGGUAGAGGCUGGCGGAAUUCCCGGUGUAGCGGUGGAAUGCGUAGAGAUCGGGAAGAACAUCGGUGGCGAAGGCGGCCAGCUGGGCUAUUGCUGACGCUGAUGCGCGACAGCGUGGGGAGCAAACAGG